rnacentral:lncRNA from 12 species
CGACUUUUCAGAGAGAAUGUGAAUACAUUUGGUAUGUACUAAAAAGCUGGAAGCCCCUAAGUAAACGCAGUAUCCAUAGGAAGGGAGUUUCUUGAAGAGUCACCUGCUAAACUCCACUAGCGUCAUCUUUGCAAUUGCUAUGAGAGUGACUACCCAACAAUGUUGGUGUAAUGGAAGACAUUACAGUCUCAAGGAAUAAUUGGUUGAGAGUCAUGAAAGUAAGGAUGGUCAGAAAAUAUUUUUUAAAAUUCUAUUUAUUAAUUAGACUUAAGUUAUGCUGCCAUGCUGACUAGAAUAUGUGCUCUGGAUGAGAGGAAUCAUGUAUAUACUGUUUAUUGCUUUUAUAUUCACUGGCCCAUAAGGCUCUAAGUUGUGUAUAAACACAUAACUUUUAAGUCAAUUAAUGAAGUAACACAAAGGGUUAUUCUUUCUCCACAGAGAAACUUUUGUAAAUUCCUACCUUAACCAUAGAAAACCAGUCUGGAUUUUCUCUUAUGCUUUUCUUACCACAAAACAGGAAAAUAUUUAAAACCAGAGCCUGGAUUUCAUUAUGCCAUGUAUAAUAGAAACCCCUGUGUAGAAAUCCAUAUCAACUUCUAUUAUAUCAAACACUAGUUUUUGAUGCUUUUUUUUUUUUUUGACAAACAUGUUAUUUGAUGGAAUAGGUAGUUGGCCUCAUCUACCAAGGAAAAAAUUUAAAUUGCAAAAAUAAAAUGAGAAGUUCUCGUGCA